GCUCAGAUUGAACGCUGGCGGCAGGCCUAACACAUGCAAGUCGAGCGGCAGCACGGGUACUUGUACCUGGUGGCGAGCGGCGGACGGGUGAGUAAUGCCUAGGAAUCUGCCUGGUAGUGGGGGAUAACGCUCGGAAACGGACGCUAAUACCGCAUACGUCCUACGGGAGAAAGCAGGGGACCUUCGGGCCUUGCGCUAUCAGAUGAGCCUAGGUCGGAUUAGCUAGUUGGUGAGGUAAUGGCUCACCAAGGCGACGAUCCGUAACUGGUCUGAGAGGAUGAUCAGUCACACUGGAACUGAGACACGGUCCAGACUCCUACGGGAGGCAGCAGUGGGGAAUAUUGGACAAUGGGCGAAAGCCUGAUCCAGCCAUGCCGCGUG
rnacentral:rRNA from 1 species